GCCCGAAUGGCCAAAUGGUAAGGCGUUUCACUCGUACACCCGUUAUGAAAAGAUUCUUGGUUCGAUUCCGAGUUUGGGCA
rnacentral:tRNA from 1 species